rnacentral:tRNA from 1 species
AUUUAUAUAGUUUAAAUAUUAAAACAUUAUAUUUUCAAUAUAAAAAUAAAUAAUAUAUAUAUCUAUUUUAUAAAUA